rnacentral:rRNA from 1 species
UACAUGGGGUGCAAACGUUGCUCGGAAUUAUUGGGCGUAAAGCGCGCGUAGGCGGUUAUCUAAGUCGGAUGUGAAAGCCCUCGGCUUAACUGAGGAAGUGCACCCGAAACUGGAUAGCUAGAGUACGAAAGAGGGUCGCGGAAUUCCCGGUGUAGAGGUGAAAUGCGUAGAUAUCGGGAGGAACACCAGUGGCGAAGGCGACUACCUGGCCUGUUCUUGACGCUGAGGCGCGAAAGCUAGGGGAGCAAACGGG